rnacentral:rRNA from 1 species
CAAGUGUCUACACGGUACUGCCGAUAUUAAGUCGGAGGAAGUGGGGAUGACGUCAAGUCAGCAUGACCUUUAUAUCCAGGGCUACACACACGCUACAAUGGCCAGUACAAUGGGUUGCCAAGCCGCGAGGCGGAGCCAAUCCUAAAAAGCUGGCCUCAGUUCAGAUUGCAGUCUGCAACUCGACUGCAUGAAGUUGGAGUUGCUAGUAACCGCAGGUCAGCAAUACUGCGGUGAAUACGUUCCCGGGGAUU